rnacentral:rRNA from 1 species
AACGAACGCUGGCGGCAGGCUUAACACAUGCAAGUCGAGCGGGCGUAGCAAUACGUCAGUGGCAGACGGGUGAGUAACACGUGGGAACCUUCCUCGUAGUACGGGACAACUCAGGGAAACUUGAGCUAAUACCGUAUACGUCCGAGAGGAGAAAGAUUUAUCGCUAUGAGACGGGCCCGCGUCCGAUUAGGUAGUUGGUGGGGUAACGGCCUACCAAGCCGACGAUCGGUAGCUGAUCUGAGAGGAUGAUCAGCCACACUGGGACUGAGACACGGCCCAGACUCCUACGGGAGGCAGCAGUGGAGAAUCUUGGACAAUGGGCGCAAGCCUGAUCCAGCCAUGCCGCGUGAGUGAAGAAGGCCUUAGGGUUGUAAAGCUCUUUUGCCAGGGACGAUAAUGACGGUACCUGGAGAAUAAGCCCCGGCAAACUUCGUGCCAGCCGCCGCGGUAACAC